CACAGAUCAGGUAGCUUGU
rnacentral:guide_RNA from 1 species